CUCAUGUCCAUCCUUUUACCUUUCAAGGACCCUGGAUUCCUCCACUGUCUUUCAAGGCCACGGAGCAGAAGAAUGGAUAGGACUUGAGGAUGGUGGCAGAAAGAUAAAAGAAUACUGAGGCGCCAAGAGGUCCAG